rnacentral:rRNA from 1 species
UACGUAGGGUCCGAGCGUUGUCCGGAAUUAUUGGGCGUAAAGGGCUCGUAGGCGGUUUGUCGCGUCGGGAGUGAAAACACGGGGCUUAACCCCGUGCCUGCUUCCGAUACGGGCAGACUAGAGUGCGGUAGGGGAGACUGGAAUUCCUGGUGUAGCGGUGAAAUGCGCAGAUAUCAGGAGGAACACCGGUGGCGAAGGCGGGUCUCUGGGCCGUAACUGACGCUGAGGAGCGAAAGCGUGGGGAGCGAACAGG